rnacentral:rRNA from 1 species
AUUGAACGCUGGCGGCAUGCCUUACACAUGCAAGUCGAACGGCAGCGGACCUUCGGGUGCCGGCGAGUGGCGAACGGGUGAGUAAUAUAUCGGAACGUACCUUUCAGUGGGGGAUAACGUAGCGAAAGUUACGCUAAUACCGCAUAUUCUGUGAGCAGGAAAGCAGGGGAUCGCAAGACCUUGCGCUGAUUGAGCGGCCGAUAUCAGAUUAGCUAGUUGGUGAGGUAAAGGCUCACCAAGGCGACGAUCUGUAGCGGGUCUGAGAGGAUGAUCCGCCACACUGGAACUGAGACACGGUCCAGACUCCUACGGGAGGCAGCAGUGGGGAAUAUUGGACAAUGGGCGCAAGCCUGAUCCAGCCAUGCCGCGUGUGUGAAGAAGGCCUUAGGGUUGUAAAGCUACUUUCGGCCGGGAAGAAAUCGCACAGGUUAAUACCCUGUGUGGAUGACGGUACCGGAAUAAGAAGCACCGGCUAAC